AUUGAACGCUGGCGGCAGGCCUAACACAUGCAAGUCGAGCGGAGCGGCGGACGGGUGAGUAAUGCCUAGGAAUCUGCCUGGUAGUGGGGGAUAACGUCCGGAAACGGGCGCUAAUACCGCAUACUAUCAGAUGAGCCUAGGUCGGAUUAGCUAGUUGGUGGGGUAAAGGCCUACCAAGGCGACGAUCCGUAACUGGUCUGAGAGGAUGAUCAGUACAAAUGGAACUGAGACACGGUCGAGACUUCUAGGGGAGGCAGCAGUGGGGAAUAUUGGACAAUGGGCGAAGGCCUGAUCCAGCCAUGCGGCGUGUGGGAAGAAGGCCUUCGGGUUGUAAAGUACUUUCAGCGGGAAGGCGUUACCCGCAGAAGAAGCACCGUCUAACUCCGUGUCAGCAGCCGCGGUAAUUC
rnacentral:rRNA from 1 species